GCCAAAGCAAUAGCAAUGUAUACCUCAGAAAAAUCAACCAGGCAGAAGAGGAACUCCUCCAGGUCUCCCUGGUCUCCUAGCUGUCGGAAUGCAGUUAAACCUCUGAUGACAUCAUCAAUAGAUGAUCUCCAGACCUGGGAGGUGCAGGGCCGAUCCUGAAGUGCUCUGAGCAUCCUCAGCUUCUGCAGGCAAGCACAGGGGGUGCAGAAGAUGCCUGCUGCCUUCUAGAUUCAGGGUCUUUUUCUGCAAAGCCAGAUUCCCACCAAAAUCAGCGUGACUUCUUCCUAGCCAGACUGAAAGUCUGGUUCUUCUCUUAACUACCUGAUUAUAAAUCAUGAAGUACUGCAGUCUGUGGUUUAUAUGAGCAUAAAACUGCCUGAAAUGGGUAGCAGCUUGAUUCCUGGGACCAUCACCAAAAAGAAAAAAUCAUUCUUCUUAAAGUCAGGCUUCCAUUAUUUAUGCGCUUCUAUGGUCAAAUAUACAGUAAUGAAGAAAAAAUAAGUUCUGUUACUGAGGAAAAAAUAAAGUCUUGUGUCUUCUUUAAUAUGCUCGA